rnacentral:ribozyme from 1 species
AUUGACCGAAAGAUCGAAAGGAAGACACAUUUAAAAACAGACAGACAAUUUGUUUGCUGAUUCUGUUGAGUUUUUUGUUUGUUUUUCUUUUUUGUUUUUUUU